GAUUAACGCUAGCGGCAGGCCUAAUACAUGCAAGUCGAGGGGUAACAGGGGUAGCAAUAUCCGCUGACGACCGGCGCACGGGUGCGUAACACGUAUACAACCUUCCUUUAACUGGAGGAUAGCCCCGAGAAAUCGGGAUUAAUACUCCAUAACAUGACGGUGUGGCAUCACAUUGUCAUUAAAACUACGGUGGUUAAAGAUGGGUAUGCGUAACAUUAGCUAGUUGGUGAGGUAACGGCUCACCAAGGCAACGAUGUUUAGGGGACCUGAGAGGGUU
rnacentral:rRNA from 1 species